rnacentral:rRNA from 1 species
CCUACGGGCGGCAGCAGUGAGGAAUAUUGGUCAAUGGGCGAGAGCCUGAACCAGCCAAGUCGCGUGAAGGAUGAAGGAUCUAUGGUUUGUAAACUUCUUUUAUAAAGGAAUAAAGUGAGGCACGUGUGCCUUUUUGUAUGUACUUUAUGAAUAAGGAUCGGCUAACUCCGUGCCAGCAGCCGCGGUAAUACGGAGGAUCCGAGCGUUAUCCGGAUUUAUUGGGUUUAAAGGGAGCGUAGAUGGGUUGUUAAGUCAGUUGUGAAAGUUUGCGGCUCAACCGUAAAAUUGCAAUUGAUACUGGCAGCCUUGAGUACAGUUGAGGUAGGCGGAAUUCGUGGUGUAGCGGUGAAAUGCUUAGAUAUCACGAAGAACUCCGAUUGCGAAGGCAGCUUACUAAACUGCCACUGACAUUGAUGCUCGAAAGUGUGGGUAUCAAACAGGAUUAGAUACCCGUGUAGUC